rnacentral:lncRNA from 1 species
UGGAUAUUUUUUCCUCUGUUGUUUUUCUUUUAGCUCAGUCCUUGAAAGGUCCUGCCGAUGUCGCUGACAUUCCAGCUGGCUGAGAUGUUUGGCUCUGCUGGGAGACCCCUCCAUCCUCUUCCUGGUCAGGAAAGGGACACAACUGGGCCCUGGAAGACUGACUGGGUGGAGGGUGAAGGUGCUGAGAGUGGAGCUGUUCUGCGUUUGAGAGUAAAUGUGGAUGAACAUCCCUUACCCCUUGCUGAUGGAGCACUGUGGUGUCCGUGCCUGCCCUUCAUACCAAAUGGCUCGGAGAAUAAAUCCCACCAGACCCGCAGUCAGCCGGUGUUCAGGAGGAGAUCUGGGAUGUUAAAGAAGCAUAAAUACAUAUUUAACAGGAUGGCACCCUCGUGUUGCAUCAGGUGUAGAAAUACAGCAGUUUGAGUCAUUGCCUGCUGGACCGUCUCUGUGACAAAGUCAUUUAUAGUAAAGCCAGGGAGUGGUGCCUCUUCAGCUUGGAUGUCACAGCUCUUCAAGGGGGCUUUGUGGGAGCCUUUCUGGGGAUAGUUUGGUAAUAAAUUGACUUUUACUAAUCUGCUUUAAUUACCUGCUAAGACCAGAAUGCUUGCGUUUCCCUGGUGUGUAUUGUAGCUGUAUUUUUGCUUUAGGGGGUGAGUAGUUUCCCCUAAAAUGCAGUCAUGUACAUUUGUGUACACAUUUGUAUGGGCUAAUUAUAAACUCGCCAUCAGCGCCGCAAUAUCUGUACAGCAAAAGGGUUGUCACUGCUUGGAAAUGCCUGCUUUGGAGCAGAAAUCAGACCUUUUUUGUGGAAUCAUUUGGUCACAUCUUUGGGGUUUAGAUUUUCAAUGAAUAAUCAAUACCUGCAACAAAAGAUUUAAACAAAAAAAAAGGUGUUCAUUGAAGUUUCUCCACAGGAAAAAAUCGAUCCCAUGUAUUAUUAAAUACAAAGAGACUUAUGUCUUGAGUUUCAUCUCGCCACAGCUUAUAAUAACCCUUCAGAAGCUUGAAGCAGGGCUUUUUUUCAUUAAACAAAAUGUUGGGUUCCCCUGAGCAUCUCUCUACUUCAUUACAGGCAUGUGUUGGAAGUUGCCUGCACCCAGCAGCUCUGGCUUGGAG